GGGAUUUUGGGAAUUGGGAUGGCUUCCGCUGUGGACGGCUUCUUAUUAUUAAAUUUAAAGCCACACUCUCUCCUCCCUAAACCUACAAACUUCUCUUUGUACUUUGGGAAAAGGGCACCGUCUCUUCAAAUUCGAGCAGAUUCCAUGGCUACUGAGAGGCUGGGGAUCAAAGUUGAGAAGAAUCCACCUGAAUCCAAGCUUAC
rnacentral:misc_RNA from 1 species